rnacentral:rRNA from 1 species
UGGCAGGGCAAUACCACCCUGAUUAUGCCUGACCUUCUCUGAUCUUGGAAGCUAAGCAGGGCUGGGCCAGUUCAGAGCUCCAUUGCCCCCAGCGUGCCCUCCUUC